UCUUUUCUUUGAGUAUUCAUUUCAUUUGUGGAGAGGAAACAAGGAGACAACUAUAACUAAAAUGAAAUCGUUUGUGUGAAUAUCAAGCUGUUGAUAAAAUAACAAAACAUCAAUUGACACUUGUAAAAAGCGAAAUGAGGAGAAAGUGAAUCGGAACACCAAAGCAGAACAUUAAUCGACACUUCCAAAAAGCGAAAUGAGUCGCUUUCCAAAGUCCUCAAUCUAUCGCACUUUAGUUCACUUAGCAACAGGUUUUGAUUGAUACUUAGAACUUCAUCUGAAUUAAACCAGCCAAUCUGAGAGUGCGUGCAUGAGCGUAAUUGAAAAUUCACCAUCAAAAAAAUGCUGACGAAAAGAGAUAAAAGAGAAUACGCGUAUAAAAGGUUCCGCAAACGUACAUUUUUGGCUAGUUUUUCAUCUAUGAUACAGAGAUGACAUUUGAUUUUGCCGAUCACACCUCAAUAGGAUGAUAAAACACCACGUUUGAAAAGUUGGGCUGUUGGUACGUAACUUAACGAACAAAUUAUUUAUUUAAUAAAAAUAUCCCUGAAGAAUUUGGAAAAUCCCAACGAAACGUCGGAUGAAAAAUUAAA